rnacentral:snRNA from 1 species
AGAUGUGAGGGCAAGCUAUCUGUGACAUCUGUCACCCCACUGGUCACCUGGGUUAAUUUGGCUGGUCUGAUUACCUAGGCAGGUAGGUGGCCCCUUCCUCCCUUACUACUCCUUGUGUAUCCCUCACUGCUUGACUGAAGAGAUCAACUUUCCCUGAAUAGACACACUGAUUUUGGGUCAAGUUAUACAUGUAGCUGUGCUCUCUUGCUAGAACCUCCAAACACGUUCUCAAAAUAUUUUCUAGUAGGAUUUCACUGAGUCAAAGAAGACUGUGAGCAAUCUUUGAAAUACAUGCAAUUCUAAAAGAGGAUCUGUAAAU